GACGAACGCUGGCGGCGUGCUUAACACAUGCAAGUCGAACGGUGAAGCCCUUCGGGGUGGCUCAGUGGCGAACGGGUGAGUAACACGUGAGCAACCUGCCCCUGGCUCUGGGACAACCACUGGAAACGGUGGCUAAUACCGGAUACGACCCGCCUCGGCAUCGAGUGUGGGUGGAAAGUUUUUCGGCUGGGGAUGGGCUCGCGGCCUAUCAGCUUGUUGGUGAGGUGAAGGCUCACCAAGGCGACGACGGGUAGCCGGCCUGAGAGGGCGACCGGCCACACUGGGACUGAGACACGGCCCAGACUCCUACGGGAGGCAGCAGUGGGGAAUAUUGCACAAUGGGCGAAAGCCUGAUGCAGCGACGCCGCGUGAGGGAUGACGGCCUUCGGGUUGUAAACCUCUUUCAGCUCCGAAGAAGCGAAAGUGACGGUAGGAGCAGAAGAAGCACCGGCUAACUACGUG
rnacentral:rRNA from 1 species